rnacentral:rRNA from 1 species
AUUGAACGCUAGCGGCAUGCCUUACACAUGCAAGUCGAACGGUAACAGGUCUUCGGAUGCUGACGAGUGGCGAACGGGUGAGUAAUACAUCGGAACGUGCCUAGUAGUGGGGGAUAACUACUCGAAAGAGUGGCUAAUACCGCAUGAGAUCUACGGAUGAAAGCAGGGGAUCGCAAGACCUGGUGCUACUAGAGCGGCCGAUGGCAGAUUAGGUAGUUGGUGGGAUAAAAGCUUAUCAAGCCAGCGAUAUGUAGCUGGUCUGAGAGGACGAUCAGCCACAUUGGGACUGAGACACGGCCCAGACUCCUACGGGAGGCAGCAGUGGGGAAUUUUGGACAAUGGGCGCAAGCCUGAUCCAGCAAUGCCGCUUGCAGGAUGAAGGCCUUCGGGUUGUAAACUGCUUUUGUACGGAACGAAAAGCCCCGGGUUAAUACCCUGGGGUCAUGACGGUACCGUAAGAAUAAGCACCGGCUAACUACGUGCCAGCCACCGCCGUAA